UACGAAGGGGGCUAGCGUUGCUCGGAAUCACUGGGCGUAAAGCGCACGUAGGCGGAUCUUUAAGUCAGGGGUGAAAUCCUGGAGCUCAACUCCAGAACUGCCUUUGAUACUGGGGAUCUCGAGUCCGGGAGAGGUGAGUGGAACUGCGAGUGUAGAGGUGAAAUUCGUAGAUAUUCGCAAGAACACCAGUGGCGAAGGCGGCUCACUGGCCCGAUACUGACGCUGAGGCACGAAAGCGUGGGGAGCGAACAGG
rnacentral:rRNA from 1 species